GAUGAACGCUGACAGAAUGCUUAACACAUGCAAGUCUUUGGCGAAUCUGUGCUUGCACAGGCUAGCCAAGGCGGACGGGUGAGUAACGCGUAAAGAACUUGCCCUGCAGACAGGGAUAACAGACGGAAACGACUGAUAACACCUGAUACAGUUGCCGGCACGCAUGUGCCUGGCAAUGAAAAGAGAUGCUGCAGGAGAGCUUUGCGUCCUAUUAGCUUGUUGGUGAGGUGACGGCUCACCAAGGCGAUGAUAGGUAGCCGGCCUGAGAGGGUGAACGGCCACAAGGGGAAUGAGAUACGGCCCUUACUCCUACGGGAGGCAGCAGGGGGGAAUAUUGGACAAUGGGGGCAACCCUGAUCCAGCAAUUCUGUGUGCACGAAGAAGGUUUUCGGAUUGUAAAGUGCUUUCAGCAGGGAAGAAGAAAGUGACGGUACCUGCAGGAGAAGCGACGGCUAAAUACGUG
rnacentral:rRNA from 1 species